rnacentral:rRNA from 1 species
GAUGAACGCUGGCGGCGUGCCCAAUACAUGCAAGUCGAGCGUAUGGAUUAAGAGCUUGCUCUUAUGAAGUUAGCGGCGGACGGGUGAGUAACACGUGGGUAACCUGCCCAUAAGACUGGGAUAACUCCGGGAAACCGGGGCUAAUACCGGAUAACAUUUUGAACCGCAUGGUCCGAAAUUGAAAGGCGGCUUCGGCUGUCACUUAUGGAUGGACCCGCGUCGCAUUAGCUAGUUGGUGAGGUAACGGCUCACCAAGGCAACGAUGCGUAGCCGACCUGAGAGGGUGAUCGGCCACACUGGGACUGAGACACGGCCCAGACUCCUACGGGAGGCAGCAGUAGGGAAUCUUCCGCAAUGGACGAAAGUCUGACGGAGCAACGCCGCGUGAGUGAGGAAGGCUUUCGGGUCGUAAAACUCUGUUGUUAGGGAAGAACAAGUGCUAGUUGAAUAAGCUGGCACCUUGACGGUACCUAACCAGAAAGCCACGGCUAACUACGUGCCAGCCGCCGCAGUAA